ACGUUCAGUGGCAGUCAGCACUAUCAUCAGUCUUAUAGGUGGGAAUAGGCUUGCUGACGUCACCGUUACCAAUGUGGAAAGAGUUAACGCUUUUACGAUGAGGCAGCUGAGGUGUUGAAAUAGUGGCAUCAAAACACAGGAUCCCCGAAGGACUUCAUAAAGACACACACGAGACAAAAUGACGGAACAAGAAAUGCAGAAAGGCCAGAAGGUCAACAACCACAGCAACCAUGAUGAUAAGGACCAUAAAAUCCAGAAAUAAGAAACAAAAUAACUUGCAUUUGUUA